rnacentral:rRNA from 1 species
CACGGAGUUAGCCGGUGCUUCUUCUGCGGGUAACGUCAAUCGAUAAGGUUAUUAACCCCAUCGCCUUCCUCCCCGCUGAAAGUACUUUACAACCCGAAGGCCUUCUUCAUACACGCGGCAUGGCUGCAUCAGGCUUGCGCCCAUUGUGCAAUAUUCCCCACUGCUGCCUCCCGUAGGAGUCUGGACCGUGUCUCAGUUCCAGUGUGGCUGGUCAUCCUCUCAGACCAGCUAGGGAUCGUCGCCUAGGUGGGCCAUUACCCCGCCUACUAGCUAAUCCCAUCUGGGUUCAUCCGAUAGUGAGAGGCCCGAAGGUCCCCCUCUUUGGUCUUGCGACGUUAUGCGGUAUUAGCCACCGUUUCCAGUGGUUAUCCCCCUCUAUCGGGCAGAUCCCCAGACAUUACUCACCCGUCCGCCACUCGUCACCCAAGAGCAAGCUCUCUGUGCUACCGUCCGACUUGCAUGUGUUAGGCCUGCCGCCAGCGUUCAAUCUGAGCCAGGA